GGCUCCGCCUCCGGGUGAGAGGUCAGCGGGAGGGAGCGAGCAGCCGCGAUGAUGGCGGCCGGGAAGCCGCGGGGCGGCGCGCAGGGGAAGCCCAGCCGGCGGCGCGCAGGAAAUAAGCAUUCAGCUGCUCUGAAGAAUGAAGAUGCUGCUCAAAGGAAAGCAGCUCUGGAGGCUGCUAUGAGAAAGAAGAUUGAAUGUGAGAAAAAAGCAUUGUCUAUUGUUGAACAGCUCCUGGAAGAGAACAUAACUGAAGAGUUCCUUCUGGAUUCUGGAAAAUGUAUUACUCCAUCUCACUAUAAAGACAUAGUUGAUGAACGGUCUAUCAUCAAACUGUGUGGUUAUCCUCUAUGUCAAAAUAAACUGGAAAAUGUGCCAAAACAGAAGUACAGAAUUUCAACAAAAACGAACAGAGUUUAUGAUAUCACCGAAAGAAAGUGCUUUUGCAGCAACUUUUGCUAUAGAGCAUCUAAAUAUUUUGAAGCUCAAAUUUCCAGAAGUCCAGUAUGGAUGCGAGAAGAAGAUAAACCACCAGAAAUACAGCUGCUGAAGGAGGGACAGAGUGGACAGUCUGGAGAAGAGGUGAAACUACGUGACGAAGUAAUUAAAGCAUCUGACAUUGAAAAUCCUUGGAUAUCUUCAAAUCCGUGUGACUCUGGUUCUCAUGACACAUCCAGUGACAGCAGUAGUGAUACUGAACAAGAAUUUGUUUCUUCUGUCCUACCAGGAAGUCAGUCAAGUUCAGCCAGUUUUGCACCGCAAUUGCACAGAAGCAGCAUCCUCAAAAAGAAGCGUGGCCAAAACGUUUAUUCCAGCCCUAAAACUGAAGACUCAGAUGUGAUAGAAGCCACUGAACAGCUAUCUAAUUGUAAAUUAGAUGCUCAGGAGGAAAUGCGUGCUUGCUCUGUUCAUAAUAAAAUAACUUCUACGUCUUCAAAAAAUACUACUCUGGGGAAAUCAAGUGCUUCAGAAAACUGUGAAAAUACCUGUGGUUCACAGGUAGUUUUUCUAGGUGUGAGCAAAAGAGGGGCAGAACACCUGAAAAGAACACUAGCUAACUCUGUAGAGCAUAAAAAACCUGAACUGAGGGAUCCAAUUAAUUCCAAAGGCAGUUUAUUAGAAGUGCUUAAGCAAACACUUGUGGAAUGGAGAACUGAGGAAACUUUAAAAUUUCUCUAUGGCCCAAACUAUACAUCUUUGUGUUCAUCAGAGCGUGUAUUAUCUGUUAACCAGGAGAAGGAAGAACUUGAUGAGGAUGACUUAGAUACAGCUGAUGAUCUUAACACUGUUUCUGUAGGGGAGUCUGAAAACAGUUUGAACUAUUCUUUACCUUUCACAAGCCCAGGUGGAACAGUUAAGCCUGUGCCUAGCUACGAAAAGUUAAAAGAAGAAACAGAGUUCUUAGAACUCCGAGUAAGAGAGUUCUAUAAAGGAAAGUGUGUCUUGGCUGAAGAGGCGGUGACAUGUGCACAAGCAGAGGAACAUGCGAGCAAAGACAAAGAUGAUCAACAGGAAGAUCUCACCUUCCCACUUGUCGAUUCAAAUGCGCAAAUGCAGAUUAGAAAAAGAAUCGUCCUUGAAAAACUGAGAAAAGCAUUACCUGCAGUUUUGGGCCCUCUUCAGAUUACUCCAGGUGAUGUUUACACAGAGCUAAAAAAUCUUGUCAAAACUUUCCGAUUAACAAACAGAAAUAUUAUUCACAAAAUGCCUGAAUGGACUCUAAUUGCUAUCGUUUUGUUAUCUGUUUGUCAGCAAGGACUUUUGUCAUGUGGUUUGACAAACUCUUGGGACUGUAGGUUUGCUUUCCCUUUCCUGGUAGUUGUAGCCAGCCAGCAGCAGCACAAGUGAAAUUUUGGCCCCGUUAAAAGGGAAUGGAAGUUGGCUUGCAUCUGGACACCAACUAUAUGAAAAGUGUGUGUGGAAGGUGAACUUUAAAAGAAGAAAAAUGCAUAUUUAGAUAUCACUGGAUUUAAAAGAAGACUUAAUUGCAGAGAUAUAUUUAAAUACUUCUUCAUCUUGUUUGUAAGUUAGAUGCUUCCAGUUCAAGAUUGUCUGUCAAAUAUUAAUGUGUUCUAAUGGAAAAUGUUUACUCCAGAGACAGUCUCUUGCUUUUAAGGUUUUUUUUUUAAAUGUUGAGCUUUUAAAAUCAUGCUCAAACUAAAGUUACUAGAAACAAGUGGGGUUUUUUCUAACUGAAACUGUGAGCAUAACUGCUAAAUUGCAUAAGUUGAAGCUGUAAUGUUUUCUAAUGUCUAAGUGUAUGUUAAAACAGUACAAAUGUGUAACCACUUAAUUAUACCAAAGGUUAUAAUUUUUUUAAGCUACCUGGUGUUGCGUCUUUAACUUACAGCAACACUCACGUUGUGCUUCUGAUCAGCUUUCUGUCCCAUACUAACUUCUGCCUGACAGAUGCGUUAUGCCUUAAGGUCUGUGGAAAUCCCUGCUGUGAUUUAAGAUACUUGACUAACAAAAUCGCUGUCUGUACCUCAAAUUAAGCAAGCAGUAAAUACAUUGUGAAGAACAUUCAGAAUUACAGUGAUGCUUUGACUCGUUCUGGUAAAUUAUCCAAGCACCUUUCAGUAUGGCUUCCUGAAGUGGAUAAAUGCGGCAAGUGUUUCAGUUCACCCCAUCUCCACGCGCUGUUAUUAAGUGAUUGGCAGCACUGGCAGCACUCCAGUUAUAUGUACAGGCAGAUGGUCUAUGGGCUGCAAUGCACAUCUAUUUCAAUGAGUUUUAUUGCUGGUCUGUAACACUUGUUGUAUUGACUCAGUCUAGUCAUUUGUCUUAAAACAAUUACUUCUGUUUAAUCAGUUGCAUUGGAGACUUCCUUCAUAGGAACAUAAUUAAAAUGGAAGCCAAGACUGCAUUCUGUAGAACUGCUGUAUUAAAAGAAUGGCAUUUCUGAUUAAUAACAUUUUUAUUGCAUUGCUAAGCCCAUCAUAUCUGUGAAAUAAGAAUAGUGAAGGUAUAUUUGAAGUAUUAAAAAAAAACAACAUAAAAAACAGCCCUUGUGUGUUGACAGAGUAGAACACAUUGUAAUGGCAUGAUUGUCCUCAUUCAUUCAUUUGACACAGCUCUGCAUAUUUCUAGAGGAUUUUAACACUGAGAUGAGCUAUUAGUGAGAAUGACCCGCAGUAUCAUGCUGAUACUUAGUUUUUAUAAAUCUGCUCAAAGGUUUAUUUAAAUAAUCUGUGGAUGAGCUUUCGUGCUUUCCCUUCUAGUUGCAAUGCAAGCAGUAGGACAUUUACUGUAGAUAGCUGCUGAAGGAGUCCUGGGCUGUUGAUGAGAUUAAAGUAAUAAUUUCAUUAAUACACUGAAACAACUUUAAGGAUUCCUGUCUAGGUAGCAGUGUCCCCUUUGGUUCUGUCCUACACCCGCCGCUGGCCCAGACCGGGGUCCAACGUACGCAACCAGCCCGUCCGACAGCUGCAGGAGGGCUCGCUGGGGCUGCACACUCAAGUGCUUCGGCACCGGCUUCUGCAGCACCAGCCGGCAAAACGCUCCCUCUCCUCUUUAUCCCUUGCAGAAGCAAUCAGAGAAGAAGUCCCUCAUGAUUUCAACUCCAAAUGGUAGGUAGGGAGCUGGGAAGAGGAGGAUGGUAAUACCCCCUGUAAAUCUUAAAAGCAGUUGAUACUUAGGUAAUACCAUCCCAAAUGUUUACAAAAACUCUGUGGAGGGGGCAAAACUGGAAAUCUUGUGCGUUUAUAACUUAAUUUUUUUUAAGUAUCAUUUAAUUAUUUGUAAAGAUGGGCUGUCCUAUAUUCAUAAUUUUGUUUUUCCAAAUCUGGAAUUGACUUGUGAUAGUCUUGCAAGUGUGAGAGUUUUGAACAGAAAUUUGACAGGCUUCCAAGUUAAUUUCAGUUUUGCAUGACCCACGAUGGUGGUAUUCCCUGCUUUUGACUUAAAGACUUCGACUUUGGUAAACUGCUCUGCUUUCAGAACCAUUUGAUCCCACAAAGAGUACUGGAUCGCUAACCAGUCCUUGCCAAAUCCCAGCAACAAACUUCGAUGUAGAUUUUCCAUUAAAAUACUUUCCAUUUGUGUCUGAAUAUUAGCAGUACCCUGGAAGACUUCUAGUAUAAAGGGGUUUUCUAUUCAGAUAGGCUUCUGUUUAAUGUUUUAUUGUAGUAGUUGACAGGUAGUGGUCAGUUGCACUCCAUGGAGCAUCUCCUGCACAGUUACGUUUCUUCAUGUUUUUUAGCGUUGUUUCUCCUAAAUGAGACCUUGUUAAUGAUGUGACCUGACUUUAUGUCAUAGCAAUAGAGCAAAUGUGCUUUAGUCUAGUGCCAAAGGCACGCUGCUGGAAUGGCUGAUUGGUCUCUCAGAACCUUCCACAGCUAUGUCACAUCACCCAGACUGGUGUCAGAGGUGUGUACACAGUUCUGUUGUUAAAUGUACGUAAGUGCUUGUUACCAGACCUUCAGCUAAAAUGCUUGUGCGAUGAGAGGACUAGAUUCCUCACAGCCAUAGUCCAAGUUGUGAAUGUCCAAAACCAGCAAAAACACACUGGGGUUCCCUGCAGGGAGGGACCCUUAGCAAGAGUCUGUAGAUGGCACCUGGAGCAGAGGCUGUGGAAUAAAACCUGCUGCCUAUAGCUGCUGUCAGCUCUUGCUUCGUUUCCGUGUUCUGAAAUGAGUGUUCAAGAAAGUUUUGUAUUCAUUAGUGCAACUUUUGUCAUUCUGGUAGAAGAAUAGUUAUCAGUCAUCCUGGUUAUGAUGAUCUUAAAAAAUUAAGUCUAAAGUGCCUAAAACAAAAGGUAGAAAGAAACUGAGAGAAUUAAAAAGAAAAAAGACUUUCAUGUGAUGAUUAUGUUGUCUUAUUCACAGUGCUCAAUGCCUGUAAACUGGCAAAAAUGUUUAUAUCCAAUUUUCUAGAGCUUUCUAUGGUGGUGCUUGCCUGUUCCAUUACUCUGCUUUAUCAUUCUGUUCUUAUUCAAGUUCCAAGCAUGCCGAGCAAGGAAGGGACUGAAAUGUGUUCAGAUCCAUGGUGUCUGCCACGAUCACUGGCUUUUAAUUUUGUUUUAAGCUUCUGGCAAUACUUAUGUUUUUCUAGGAAGGGCUUCUUCUGAGAAUGAGCAUAUGGCUUUCCUUCGUGAGUAUACAAAUGCUUUGUAUCAUAUUGAGUAAAUUUACAUGCAUUCAAAUUCUCAAAGCUUUUCAUGUAAUUUUAAGUGGUGACCAGUUGUGGGGAGUGGAAAGGAACCCAACUCUUGGGUGGUUGUGUUCUUAGCCCUGUUUUCAGGUGUCUGUUUCAGAGACCUGUAACUGGCUGAUAGCACAGUGGUGGCUUUCAAAAUCUAACUUUUUUCAAAGGGCAUCACAGAAUUAAUCUUAAAGUCCAUAAGGGUUUUCCUGAGCUCCAGUAUCUGAGGGGAGGAUGGUAAUGUACUAUUAGGGUUUUUUUUUCAGAAAGGAUAUUCACACCUUUGCAUAGGAAGUGCCAAUUGCUUUUAACUACAUAAAAAUAUUACUGCGUCAUCAUGUUUUCUGCAUGUAUUCAGCUGUCUUGGUUAAGGUAUGCCUAAAUCUAGGAAGAAGCAGUGCACACUACCAUAUCAAUUAAUGACAUUUACUCCAUAUUAUAUGACUGACUUCUAGACUUCUAAGACUAUUUUAAUUUAGGUUAAAUUCCUAUGUAUACUUGUCAAAUAUUUUUGUAAGGUGACUAGUUCAUAGAAAGCUUGGGUCUUGAGUUGAAGCCCUGAAACAAUGUCAACAUUUUGAGGUAGCCAGAUGUCAUUUGAUAGCUUGGUAAUAAUAGCUGGGUCUUCGCAUGAAUUUCACUUUUUUUUUUUCCUUGAACAUGUAACAUAUGUGGAAUAGCAACUACAAAUUUUAUCAAU